AAGAGCCUCAUGUUCUUUCCAUUUGCGAGCCUGCCAAAUCUACUGAUAGAAAGGAAUCUGAGAGUACUGAGAUAAAAGGCCAGUCUUCUUCCAGUCCUCCUCAACUCAUUAUAUGAUGCAACCUACCAGCUGUUCAAGCCAGAAACCUAGAAGACAGACUCACCAUCUCUUCUCCCCUACAUCCAAUCCAACCUCAAACCUCUUGACGCCAUGUCCUCCACUCCCAGCAUAGAACCAAGCCACCAUCCUCACUUGCUGAGAUCUCUGCUACAGCCUGGCUGUCUCUCAGCUUCUACUCUUGGAGCCAAGAUCUAUAUUUUGAAGGAAAAACAAAGAGGAAAAAUGAAUGGACACGAAAAGGACAGAUACACAGAGAAUGGCAGAUGGGAAGAAAGUCCGAAACAAGCAGUGUGGCUGAAAGCAAGCAGUGUGGCACGCAUAGACCCAAGAAG
ensembl:lncRNA